UACGUAGGGUGCAAGCGUUGUCCGGAAUCAUUGGGCGUAAAGCGCGUGUAGGCGGUCCGGUAAGUCCGCUGUGAAAGUCGGGGGCUCAACCCUCGAAUGCCGGUGGAUACUGUCGGGCUAGAGUGCGGAAGAGGCGAGUGGAAUUCCUGGUGUAGCGGUGAAAUGCGCAGAUAUCAGGAGGAAUACCAAUUGCGAAGGCAGCUCGCUGGGACGUUACUGACGCUGAGACGCGAAAGCGUGGGGAGCAAACAGG
rnacentral:rRNA from 1 species